rnacentral:siRNA from 1 species
UCCUAAAAGCCUAAGUAGUGUUUC